rnacentral:tRNA from 1 species
AGCAAAAAAGAUUUAGUUCGUUUUGGAUUUGAAAUCCGAAUAUAUUGUUUGUUUACAAGUUUUGCUG